UACGGGGGGAGCAAGCGUUGUUCGGAUUUACUGGGCGUAAAGGGCGCGUAGGCGGUCGUGACAGUCACUUGUGAAAUCUCCGGGCUUAACUCGGAACGUCAAGUGAUACUGUCGGACUAGAGUACAGAAGGGGCAACUGGAAUUCUCGGUGUAGCGGUGAAAUGCGUAGAUAUCGAGAGGAACACCUGCGGCGAAAACGACUUCCUG
rnacentral:rRNA from 1 species